AUUGAACGCUGGCGGCAUGCCUAACACAUGCAAGUCGAACGGCAGCACAGCAGUAGCAAUACUGUGGGUGGCGAGUGGCGGACGGGUGAGGAAUACGUCGGAAUCUGCCCAGUCGUGGGGAUAACUAGCCGAAAGGUUAGCUAAUACCGCAUACGACCGAGAGGUGAAAGCGGGGACCGCAAGGCCUCGCGCGAUUGGAUGAGCCGACGUCGGAUUAGCUAGUUGGCGGGUAAAGGCCCACCAAGGCGACGAUCCGUAGCUGGUCUGAGAGGAUGAUCAGCCACACUGGAACUGAGACACGGUCCAGACUCCUACGGGAGGCAGCAGUGGGGAAUAUUGGACAAUGGGCGGCAAGCCUGAUCCAGCAAUGCCGCGUGUGUGAAGAAGGCCUCGUGUGUAGACGACUUUAUUACUAGUAAC
rnacentral:rRNA from 1 species